rnacentral:lncRNA from 1 species
GAGAGGCUAUUUUUUGCUAUGGUUGACUAAAUAUGGUCAGGGAAGAGAGAGGCACAAGAGAGCCUGUUUGCCUGGGAGUGCAUGUUUCAAAUGCUUAGCUGCCUAUAAAGCUGUAACAGUUUAGCCAGUGGUCACUGAGGAAGAAUAUAAGUUAGCCUCGUAGUGACCAUGUGGAAGUCCUGACCUCGCUUGCAGACUUGACCUCUGGAUGUGACAAGGUGAGGUUCUGUGUUCACUGAUACAUCCCCUUCCUUCACCGGGCUCAUGAAAAGAAAUGCUGAAUCAGCAAAUAGAGUGAACGAACAAUCAAGAUGAGAUGGCUGCUGUUGAUGUGAUUCUCUAGGUUACUACCUUUCUUCCUGCUGCAAAUGCUGCAUGACACUAAGCUUACAGGAUCUAGAAGCAGACUACAAAAAAAGAAGAAAUUCACUCUGAAGACUGAAGAAACACUAGGCUGAUCUUAAGUUUCCGAAAUACACUCUGUAACACUACACUGAUUCUUUGAAUCUCUUGCAAAAAGAAUCAAACCAGGACAAAGUUCAACAGAUAACUGGUCAAAUGCUUAGGAAUGUCUAUGUCCACCAAGAAUAUGGAACCAUUAAUGCCAUGCUUCAGGUAAACUUGUUACAAAAUUUAGUCUUCGAUAAAUUAGUCUCUGCAAAUGAUUUACCAUUGCUCUACAUUAGUAAGCUGAAUGUUUCACUAACAAAUAAGAAAAUAAAAUAUUUCAUGUUUUUACAGCUAACAACUUAGUAAUACCUACUCAGAGUACAUACUUCUUUAUGUACCCAUAUGAACAUACAAUGCUAUGGAAUGUAAAGAAGUAUGUAUUUUUGGUAGGCAAUAAACCACCAAGGGAGAAUUAAACUGAGCUAAAAGAAGCUCUUGCUUCUUUCUACGUGAAUGACCGUCAUAUGGUAAAUUAACCUAGUCAUGAACAGAUGACCUUUGGCAAUACUAACACCAAAAAAAAAAGGUUAUCUACUACUGAUAGAUAGAAACUAUCCCUAAGGUUUUUAUUUCAUGAAGGAAAAGAAGAUCCAGUGAAGUAGAUUUCAAUUAUCAUGAAACUCCUUUUAAAUCAUCUAAGUUUAAAACAGACAUCUUACAUUUUUAAAUUAGGCACUCUCAUUAUUAAAAUUUGACUGCAAAAGGGAAAAUAGUAUUACUAGCACAAAAGAAUGAGGAAUACACAUGACCUAUUUUCUGUCUCCACAAUUUAAUCUUAAGUAUAUCUCAUUAGUAGGGCUCACUGAUUUGUACAGAAAAAUAAGAUACUAAGAGCUGGCUUCAUUCACAUAAUAAGCUAUUUCUUCUCAUUUUGAUAAAUGUAUAAUUAAUAUUAGAGGAAUUUCUGACCAAAAGUUUUGUUGUUUUAAAAAGGCUUUCUUUUUUGACAGCUACAAACAUAGUGGCCCUUGUCCUUCCUUCUCAAGUUUAUCAGGGUCUUAACCCAAAUCUCUACUUUAAAUGUGAAGUUAAAACUUAAAAUUAAUUAAAAUGUAAGAUUUAAGCAUGAAAAAUGACAAAAUUCUGGUCCACAGCUGUAAGUCAGCAGGGUAUAUUGGUAACAGACUACCAAAUAUUUAAAAGAAAUUAAUUUAUCUGUAUUAUCUUCGAAUUUGCUUUCUCCAAAGAGGGCAUGUAAAAUGAAAGCACUAUAGUCAAGAACCAAUUUAUACAGAUCGAAGAACUGUUUUUAUUGUACUAUGCAAUUACAAUUCAAUUUCUCUAAACUUGAUCAAUCCAUUGUUUAGAAAUAUCAAAAUACUUUUAUUUCACACAGUUUGUAUAUUAUUUAUAAAAAAUUCCAAAUAAUGCUCUUAGCAAAAUUUAUAAGCAGUACCUGUUUUAAGCUACUAAUGACAAAGUUAGAAAAUAAGAGUAAUAUUCACAUAUUCUAACCAUUUCUUACUAAAAGUAUUAUUUCAACUGAAAUAUUUACACAUGUAUAAAAGCAUAAUAUUUUAAAUUUUUUGUAUCAGAAAUUGAAUGGAAAUGACUAAGUUUAACUAUAGUUCAUUUUCUGUUUAAUAAGACUAGUUAAUACAAAGAUGAUUUUCAUUUUAUCAGAUUAUAAAGAAUGAGAAUGACUUACACAUGGCAUCAUAUGUGUUACUGCAUGUUUACUGGAAAUUAUAAAAGGCACAUAAUUUUAAAAUUCUACACUUUCAAAGAAAUUAGUUCAAAGCUUAACUCACAUAAGCAUAGCCCUUCUGAUCAUCCACAAAACAGAAUGGCAAUGAUUCAUGUUCUAUUUGGUAAGUUUACCUGUAUAGGUCCUAAAUACCAAGAACUCAAAAUAUAUACCUCAAAAGUAGAGGUUCUUCUAUAAAAAUACUCAAAGCUUAUUACUCUACUUGUGUUUUAUAAUAAACAGUUAUAUUGGUCAUUCUAUAGGUAUACAAGUUGUUUAAUAAUCCUUCUCAAACAUCCUAGCAACUAAGACUCUCUUUGCUAUAAUAUUAAGACUAUAUAAAUAAUCCUUAGAAAAUAAAAUGACAGGCUAUUCAUUUUUAAAAGUAAAAUUAUAUGCUGAUUCUGGUGCUUGCGAGUUUAACUUAUCUAAGAGUAUUUUCAAUCACUCUAAAAUGUCACAUCUAUCACUUAGAUCAGCUGUUCAUUUUUAACUGAGUACAUAUUAAACUCUGGGCAUCUGCUGACACUGGUAUAACUCAAACAUUUCAACUGUCUCCCUGACAGGGAUAACAGAUGCUGACAUUAUCAAAUGCUGUACUAUUUUUUUCCCAUGGCCUCUCCUUGCCCCGAUAUGGCCAGUAUAUGAAACUGAACUGCCAUCCAAAAACACACUUGAGCAACUGGAUCUGCUAAACAGCUCCCAUAUAACUAGUAAAAAUAGAAGCCAGUAUUAUUGCUAUCUUCAGCACUUAAGUUUAGGCAGUUUAACACCUGUUUCACUUCUACUAGAAAAAAUGAUGAAAAAGAAUUGUAGUUAAUUUCACCAGCAGUAUGAUACUUACCAACCAACAGACGCAGAAUAUACUUAGUGUAAGAGUCAUUUGCAUACUGCCUGAAUUAGCGUUGACCUCUCAGUUUAAAAUAGUAACUGUAAAGAAUAUUUCUCUACUCUAUAUUUCUCUGAGAGCACUUAACUUUAUAGGCAAAUUAUAAUUUAUCAAACUUUUAUUUUAUGCAAGAAGACACCCCUCUCAAGACAUUGAAAUCAACAGUAAAACCACAUUAUAACAAAAAUUUACUCUGAUUUUUCAAGUAUUAUCCACACAAUAGAUUUUAAUACUUGUAUCCAUGGAUUGUAACUAACCACCAUGUAUUACUAAGGCGAUAAUGAGAAGUAACUUGGCAAUCUGUACCCAAAAUGACAAAGAACUUAGUCAAGGAAAUAGACCUUUAAAAGGGUUAAAUUACUAAGCUAUGAUUAGUAACACCACGUAAGCAAAAACAAAGAAAAACUGGCAUGCAUGGUAGUUCCUUUCGACACAAGUCCAAGCAAUACACUGAAUACACAUGUGAUCUAUUUAUAAAUCAAAGGGCAGAGGUACUUUCUUAAGGCCACUGAUAUUCCUACACCCAUCAACAAUUUGCUAUUAGCCCUCAACUAUAAUGCUAAAAGAAGCAGUGGCAGUAGAAGGGGGUGACUAACUGAACUCUUCCCCAACCUUUUAGCUUAACUAUUUAUCUGGUUUGCUGCCUAGAGAUAAAUGGAAAACAUUACUCUAAAAUACAUCAAGGUCUAUUUGUUCCUUUAAAUACUAUUGGUUUUGAAAUAGCUUAUUGUCUACAUGUAAGAAUUAAGCAAAGACUUCGGCUGUGGACAAGAUUAGAAAAAGAAAAAGAAGCAAAGAUGUUGAAAACAAAGACGUACAUUGAUCAUUCCUUAAUGCAGUAAUGUGUUAAAAGGAAAAGAUUUUUAAACCAUUAAGCGCAGGAAAACAGUAGGAAAGUGACUUCAAAAUGGAAAAUUUGACAUUCAGUGACUGAAGCAUUGGUAUGAUAAUUUCUAACACUUGUAGAAGGUCCAUGACUGUAAUUUUACCAAUGAAAAGCAUUUAACUGUUUUGGAUUCCAAACUAGCAGCACUACAAUGCUUUGCUAGAGCUGGUAAAAUGGAACCAAAUCGCCUCUUCAAUGGAUUUGGUCCCCUUCAACCAGCUGUAGCUAUGCAUUGAUUACUACGGGACAACCAACGUUUUCAUUUGUGAAUAUCAAUUACUUGCCAACUAAUUUCAACUUAUUUACAUUAUGCAGACUGUGAUUAUAAUCAAAUAACUUGUUACUGUUAAUUCUACCUGGAAAAGCUAGAAUGGUUAAAGAUGUUUAUAAAAAGCUUUAUGAAAAAUGUAUGGAUGACUUAAGGAUUUCAAAUAAAAAUUUUACUUA